UUCGCAAUGCCCGAAAGGGUGACGAAGCGACGCCGCGUGUGGGAAGAAGGCCUUCGGGUUGUAAACCACUGUCGGGAGUUAGGAAAUGUAAGGGUGCUAAUAGUAUCCUUACUUGACUAAGGCUCCGGAGGAAGCCACGGCUAACUCUGUGCCAGCAGCCGCGGUAAUACAGAGGCGGCAAGCGUUGUUCGGAAUUAUUGGGCGUAAAGAGCACGUAGGCGGCCUUGUAAGUCAGUUGUGAAAGCCUUCUGCUUAACGGAAGAACAGCAGCUGAUACUGCAAGGCUAGAGUGCGGAAGGGGAGAGUGGAACUUCUGGUGGAGCGGUGAAAUGCGUAGAUAUCAGAAGGAACACCGGCGGCGAAGGCGACUCUUUGGUCCGUAACUGACGCUGAGUGUGCGAAAGCUAGGGGAGCAAACGGGAUUAGAUACCCCGGUAGUCCUAGCCGUAAAC
rnacentral:rRNA from 1 species